rnacentral:rRNA from 1 species
AGAGUUUGAUUCUGGCUCAGGACGAACGCUGGCGGCGUGCCUAAUACAUGCAAGUAGAACGCUGAAGAGAGGAGCUUGCUCUUCUUGGAUGAGUUGCGAACGGGUGAGUAACGCGUAGGUAACCUGCCUUGUAGCGGGGGAUAACUAUUGGAAACGAUAGCUAAUACCGCAUAACAAUGGAUGACACAUGUCAUUUAUUUGAAAGGGGCAAUUGCUCCACUACGAGAUGGACCUGCGUUGGAUUAGCUAGUUGGUGGGGUAACGGCCCACCAAGGCGACGAUCCAUAGCCGGCCUGAGAGGGUGAACGGCCACAUUGGGACUGAGACACGGCCCAG